rnacentral:rRNA from 1 species
AUCAUGGCUCAGGAUGAACGCUAGCUACAGGCUUAACACAUGCAAGUCGUGGGGCAGCAUGGGAGAUGCUUGCAUUUCCCGAUGGCGACCGGCGCACGGGUGAGUAACGCGUAUCCAACCUGCCCUUCACUCCGGCACAGCCCGUCGAAAGACGGAUUAAUGCGGGAUGCAGUCAGAAAGAUGCAUAUUAAUUUGACGAAAGGUCUUCGGGCCGGUGAGGGAUGGGGAAG